CCUUAUUGUACUUGCUCUAAGAAGCAGCGGGUUCCAGACGUGACGGGGACGAGAGCUCUCGUGGAACGGCGGUCGUCGGCCAGCCGGCUCAUAGCGCGACGAACCACGUUCUCUGCAGGGCUCUAGGCGCAUCAUGAGAAAGUAUAAUAUUUUUUAUGUUUGGGUCAAGUCUUAAUAGUGCAAAGAGACAUUGAAAUGAAACACAAUCUUUCAAAUCAAAC
rnacentral:lncRNA from 1 species